rnacentral:rRNA from 1 species
GGUAGAGUAACACGUGAGUAACCUGCCUUACACAAGGGGAUAGCCGUUGGAAACGACGAAUAAUACCCUAUGAAACUAUCACUUCGCAUGAAGCUAUAGUCAAAGUGUUAGCGGUGUAAGAUGGACUUGCGUCUGAUUAGCUAGUUGGUGAGAAAAAGCCCACCAAGGCAACGAUCAGUAGCCGGCUUGAGAGAGUGUACGGCCACAUUGGGACUGAGACACGGCCCAG